rnacentral:lncRNA from 1 species
ACUGGGAAUGGGGGAAUAACGCACAGAGAACAGCGGAAUAACACAGCACAGGGAAUGGCGGGAUAACACACUGGGAAUGGCGGGAUAACGCACUGGGAAUGGCAGGAUAACAGAGCAGGAAUGCUGGGAUAACGGAGCCCUGAGAGCCCAGGAUAACUGAGUGGGAAUUCUGGGAUUAUGGAGCCAGGAUUCCCAGGAAAAUGGAGCUGCAGUUCACAGGCUUAUGGAGCCCAGCAUUCCCGGCAUUCCAGAACCUUGGCCCUCCUGGAAUUCCAGUGGGAUGUGACUCUGGAGCCUGGCAUUCCAGAGUUUAACAUUCCCAGAGCCCCAGCAUUCCCAGAAUAUCAGAUCCAUGACAUUCCCAGAUUUUCACAGCCCUGAUUUCCACACCCCUGACAUUCCCAGAAUUCCACUGCCCUGACAUUCCCAGAUUCCCAGCAGGAGGUGAUUCCCGACAUUCCCGGAUUUCCCUUUUUUGCUGGAGUUUCCCUCUUUUAGGGCAGCUUUUCCCUCCUUUUCCAGUUGGAUUUUCCCUCUUUUUCGGGCCGGAAUUUCCCAAGGUUCCAGGUUGGAUUCUCCCUUGUUGGGGGUUGGAUUUUCCCAAGUUUUUUUUUCCCGGAUUUUUCCCUCUUUUUUGGGGCUCAGAUUUUCCCUCCUUCCUCGUUUGGAUUUUCCCGAGUUUUUUUGGGUUGGAAUUUCUCGAGUUUUCCCCAUGGAUUUUCCCGGAUUUUCCCUCGGGAACAUUCCCAAUAAAUCCACGUGUUCCUCUCUCUGGCACUGCUGGGCUUUUCCUUGGGAUU